CUGAUGCAGCCAUGCCGCGUGUGUGAAGAAGGCCUUCGGGUUGUAAAGCACUUUCAGUUGUGAGGAAAAGUUAGUAGUUAAUACCUGCUAGCCGUGACGUUAACAACAGAAGAAGCACCGGCUAACUCCGUGCCAGCAGCCGCGGUAAUACGGAGGGUGCGAGCGUUAAUCGGAAUUACUGGGCGUAAAGCGCACGCAGGCGGUUUGUUAAGCUAGAUGUGAAAGCCCCGGGCUCAACCUGGGAUGGUCAUUUAGAACUGGCAGACUAGAGUCUUGGAGAGGGGAGUGGAAUUCCAGGUGUAGCGGUGAAAUGCGUAGAUAUCUGGAGGAACAUCAGUGGCGAAGGCGACUCCCUGGCCAAAGACUGACGCUCAUGUGCGAAAGUGUGGGUAGCGAACAGGAUUAGAUACCCUGGUAGUCCACACCGUAAACGCUGUCUACUAGCUGUGUGUGCCUUUAAGGCGUGCGUAGCGAAGCUAACGCGCUAAGUAGACCGCCUGGGGAGUACGGCCGCAAGGUUAAAACUCA
rnacentral:rRNA from 1 species